ACACAUGCAGUCGAGCGGGGUGAUGUAGCUUGCUACAUUACCUAGCGGCGGACGGGUAAGUAAUGCUUAGGAAUCUGCCUAUUAGUGGGGGACAACAUUCCGAAAGGGAUGCUAAUACCGCAUACGUCCUACGGGAGAAAGCAGGGGACCUUCGGGCCUUGCGCUAAUAGAUGAGCCUAAGUCGGAUUAGCUAGUUGGUGGGGUAAAGGCCUACCAAGGCGACGAUCUGUAGCGGGUCUGAGAGGAUGAUCCGCCACACUGGGACUGAGACACGGCCCAGACUCCUACGGGAGGCAGCAGUGGGGAAUAUUGGACAAUGGGGGGAACCCUGAUCCAGCCAUGCCGCGUGUGUGAAGAAGGCCUUAUGGUUGUAAAGCACUUUAAGCGAGGAGGAGGCUACCUAGAUUAAUACUCUAGGAUAGUGGACGUUACUCGCAGAAUAAGCACCGGCUAACUCUGUGCCAGCAGCCGCGGUAAUACAGAGGGUGCGAGCGUUAAUCGGAUUUACUGGGCGUAAAGCGUGCGUAGGUGGCUAAUUAAGUCAAAUGUGAAAUCCCCGAGCUUAACUUGGGAAUUGCAUUCGAUACUGGUUAGCUAGAGUAUGGGAGAGGAUGGUAGAAUUCCAGGUGUAGCGGUGAAAUGCGUAGAGAUCUGGAGGAAUACCGAUGGCGAAGGCAGCCAUCUGGCCUAAUACUGACACUGACGUACGAAAGCAUGGGGAGCAAACAGGAUUAGAUACCCUGGUAGUCCAUGCCGUAAACGAUGUCUACUAGCCGUUGGGGUCUUUGAGACUUUAGUGGCGCAGCUAACGCGAUAAGUAGACCGCCUGGGGAGUACGGUCGCAAGACUAAAACUCAAUGAAUUUGACGGGGGCCCGCACA
rnacentral:rRNA from 1 species